CCUUCGAUGUCGGCUGUUCCUAUUAUUGUGAAGCAGAAUUCACCAAGCGUUGGAUUGUUUGGCCACUAAAAAGGGAAUGUGAGUUGGGUUUAGACCGCCGUGAGACAGGUU
rnacentral:ncRNA from 1 species